GCUUCUGAUACUCAGAAAAU
rnacentral:snRNA from 1 species